rnacentral:rRNA from 1 species
AGAGUUUGAUUAUGGCUCAGGAUGAACGCUAGCGACAGGCCUAACACAUGCAAGUCGAGGGGUAACAGGGGAGCUUGCUCCCGCUGACGACCGGCGCACGGGUGAGUAACGCGUAUGGAACCUGCCCGCGACACGGGGAUAAUCCGGCGAAAGUCGGUCUAAUACCCGAUGACGUCGUCAUUUCGCAUGUUAUGACGAUUAAAGAUUCAUCGGUCGCGGAUGGUCAUGCGUGGCAUUAGGUAGUAGGCGGGGUAACGGCCCACCUAGCCGACGAUGCCUAGGGGUUCUGAGAGGAAGGUCCCCCACACUGGUACUGAGACACGGACCAGACUCCUACGGGAGGCAGCAGUGAGGAAUAUUGGUCAAUGGACGCAAGUCUGAACCAGCCAAGUCGCGUAGAAGGAAGACUGCCCUAUGGGUUGUAAACUUCUUUUAUAGGGGAAUAAAGUGGGUCUCGUGAGGCCUUUUGCAUGUACCCUAUGAAUAAGCAUCGGCUAACUCCGUGCCAGCCGCCGC